AACUCUGUAGUUCAUUGGUUAGAACGCUGCGCUGGAAUCGCAGGACCGCAAGUUCGAUUCCUUUCGGAGGGC
rnacentral:tRNA from 1 species